CCUUGGUAACACGGCGGAAGUGAACCCAUUUUUUUAACCUACAGGCGCGUAUUGGAGGCUGAGACGGCGGCAGUACAGAAGUACGUUAAGCCCCAGGACGCGUCCGCCCGGACCUGCGCUGCGUGUUGACGGAUGUCGUUCGUCCGAGGCAGCCGGUCCUGCCCGCCGGCCGGCCGGCCAGGGAGGAAGGCGACGCGGGUCAGAAAGAAGAAAGCGGCAGGCCAGCAGGACUGGGUGAGCACCAUUCAGGAUCUCAG